rnacentral:rRNA from 1 species
GAUGAACGCUGGCGGCGUGCCUAAUACAUGUAAGUCGAGCGAACAGACGAGGAGCUUGCUCCUCUGACGUUAGCGGCGGACGGGUGAGUAACACGUGGAUAACCUACCUAUAAGACUGGGAUAACUUCGGGAAACCGGAGCUAAUACCGGAUAAUAUAUUGAACCGCAUGGUUCAAUAGUGAAAGACGGUUUUGCUGUCACUUAUAGAUGGAUCCGCGCCGCAUUAGCUAGUUGGUAAGGUAACGGCUUACCAAGGCAACGAUGCGUAGCCGACCUGAGAGGGUGAUCGGCCACACUGGAACUGAGACACGGUCCAGACUCCUACGGGAGGCAGCAGUAGGGAAUCUUCCGCAAUGGGCGAAAGCUUGACGGAGCAACGCCGCGUGAGUGAUGAAGGUCUUCGGAUCGUAAAACUCUGUUAUUAGGGAAGAACAAAUGUGUAAGUAACGAUGCACGUCUUGACGGUACCGAAGCAGAAAGCCACGGCUAACUACGU